rnacentral:rRNA from 1 species
AUUGAACGCUGGCGGCAGGCCUAACACAUGCAAGUCGAGCGAGCGGAGGACGGGUGAGUAAUGUAUGGGGACUGCCCGAUAGAGGGGGAUAACUACUGGAAACGGUAGCUAAUACCGCAUACUAUCGGAUAACCCAUAUGGGAUGAGGUAGUAGGUGAGGUAAUGGCUCAACUAGGCGACGAUCCCUAGCUGGUCUGAGAGGAUGAUCAACCACACUGUGACGGAGACACGGCCCCGACUCCUACGGAGGCAGCAGAGGGGAAUAUUGCACAAUGGGCGCAAGCCGGAUGCAGCCAUGCCGCGUGUAUGAAGAAGGCCCUAGGGUUGUAAAGGACUUUCAGUCGGGAGGCGUAACCGACAGAAGAAGCACCGGGUAACUCCGUGCCAGCAGCCGCGGUAAUUC